rnacentral:lncRNA from 1 species
ACUACCAAGGCUCAUAUUCUUCCAUAAAAACUCAGAAAACAACACAUAUGCUUUCAUGACAAAACCCUAGACUCUUAAUUAUUUUGCAAAAUAGUCCCAUUAUUUGAAAGCUCAUGCUUUAGGGGUUCCAAAAAUGUAAAAAUUAUCAAGAAAGACAUUAAAAAUCACUUGCUAGCAUAAGAGUUUCUUUGCUGAAAAUUUCCAGCUUUUAAACCCUUUCUUUGCUGCC